UGGUGGACUAUAGAAGGAGGAAAACAGUCAUCCAGCCACUGGUCAUCGAUGGGGACUGUGUGGAGUGGGUCUCUGAAUUUCGUUUUCUGGGCGUGUAUUUGAGAGACAACCUGACUUGGAGCACAAAUGCUAUGGCUACCAUCAAGAAGGCACAGCAUAGACUCCUGAGGGUUCUCAGGAAUAACCAUCUGCCACAGAGACUGCUGGUGCCCUUCUAUCGCUGCUCCAUAGAGAGCAUUUUGACCUACUGUCUGUGUGUGUGGUUUUCCAGCUGCACAGUCACAGACAGGAAAGCUCUCCAGAGGGUCGUCACCACAGCCCAGAAGAUCACUGGUUGUCUCUUGCCUUCAUUAGAGGAACUGUAUACAAGCUGUUGUCUCAGGAAGGCAAGGACUAUAAUCAGAG